AGAGUUUGAUCCUGGCUCAGGAUGAACGCUGGCGGCGUGCCUAAUACAUGCAAGUCGAGCGAACAGACGAGGAGCUUGCUCCUUUGACGUUAGCGGCGGACGGGUGAGUAACACGUGGAUAACCUACCUAUAAGACUGGGAUAACUUCGGGAAACCGGAGCUAAUACCGGAUAACAUGUUGAACCGCAUGGUUCAACAGUGAAAGACGGUCUUGCUGUCACUUAUAGAUGGAUCCGCGCCGCAUUAGCUAGUUGGUAAGGUAACGGCUUACCAAGGCAACGAUGCGUAGCCGACCUGAGAGGGUGAUCGGCCACACUGGAACUGAGACACGGUCCAGACUCCUACGGGAGGCAGCAGUAGGGAAUCUUCCGCAAUGGGCGAAAGCCUGACGGAGCAACGCCGCGUGAGUGAUGAAGGUCUUCGGAUCGUAAAACUCUGUUAUUAGGGAAGAACAAAUGUGUAAGUAACUAUGCACGUCUUGACGGUACCUAAUCAGAAAGCCACGGCUAACUACGUGCCAGCAGCCGCGGUAAUACGUAGGUGGCAAGCGUUAUCCGGAAUUAUUGGGCGUAAAGCGCGCGUAGGCGGUUUUUUAAGUCUGAUGUGAAAGCCCACGGCUCAACCGUGGAGGGUCAUUGGAAACUGGAAAACUUGAGUGCAGAAGAGGAAAGUGGAAUUCCAUGUGUAGCGGUGAAAUGCGCAGAGAUAUGGAGGAACACCAGUGGCGAAGGCGACUUUCUGGUCUGUAACUGACGCUGAUGUGCGAAAGCGUGGGGAUCAAACAGGAUUAGAUACCCUGGUAGUCCACGCCGUAAACGAUGAGUGCUAAGUGUUAGGGGGUUUCCGCCCCUUAGUGCUGCAGCUAACGCAUUAAGCACUCCGCCUGGGGAGUACGACCGCAAGGUUGAAACUCAAAGGAAUUGACGGGGACCCGCACAAGCGGUGGAGCAUGUGGUUUAAUUCGAAGCAACGCGAAGAACCUUACCAAAUCUUGACAUCCUCUGACCCCUCUAGAGAUAGAGUUUUCCCCUUCGGGGGACAGAGUGACAGGUGGUGCAUGGUUGUCGUCAGCUCGUGUCGUGAGAUGUUGGGUUAAGUCCCGCAACGAGCGCAACCCUUAAGCUUAGUUGCCAUAAUUAAGUUGGGCACUCUAAGUUGACUGCCGGUGACAAACCGGAGGAAGGUGGGGAUGACGUCAAAUCAUCAUGCCCCUUAUGAUUUGGGCUACACACGUGCUACAAUGGACAAUACAAAGGGUGGCGAAACCGCGAGGUCAAGCAAAUCCCAUAAAGUUGUUCUCAGUUCGGAUUGUAGUCUGCAACUCGACUACAUGAAGCUGGAAUCGCUAGUAAUCGUGGAUCAGCAUGCCACGGUGAAUACGUUCCCGGGUCUUGUACACACCGCCCGUCACACCACGAGAGUUUGUAACACCCGAAGCCGGUGGAGUAACCUUUUGGAGCUAGCCGUCGAAGGUGGGACAAAUGAUUGGGGUGAAGUCGUAACAAGGUAGCCGUAUCGGAAGGUGCGGCUGGAUCACCU
rnacentral:rRNA from 1 species